GAUGAACGCUGGCGGCGUGCUUAACACAUGCAAGUCGAACGAUGAAGCCCAGCUUGCUGGGUGGAUUAGUAGCGAACGGGUGAGUAACACGUGAGUAACCUGCCCUUGACUCUGGGAUAAGCCUGGGAAACUGGGUCUAAUACUGGAUAUGACUUCUCAUCGCAUGGUGGGGGGUGGAAAGAUUUAUUGGUCUUGGAUGGACUCGCGGCCUAUCAGCUUGUUGGUGAGGUAAUGGCUCACCAAGGCGACGACGGGUAGCCGGCCUGAGAGGGUGACCGGCCACACUGGGACUGAGACACGGCCCAGACUCCUACGGGAGGCAGCAGUGGGGAAUAUUGCACAAUGGGCGCAAGCCUGAUGCAGCGACGCCGCGUGAGGGAUGACGGCCUUCGGGUUGUAAACCUCUUUCAGUAGGGAAGAAGCGAGAGUGACGGUACCUGCAGAAGAAGCGCCGGCUAACUACGUG
rnacentral:rRNA from 1 species